rnacentral:tRNA from 1 species
UAGGCACUAGUAUAAAAACACAUCGCUUUGUCAAGGCGAAAUUGUGGGUUAAACCCCCGCGUGCCUU